GGCUUUAUGGCCUAAAAGGUAGGGCCUCUGACUUCCAAUCAGAGGAUUGUAGAUUCGAGUUCUACCUUGAGCCC